rnacentral:rRNA from 1 species
UACGGGGGGGGUGCGAGCGUUUGUCCGGAAUCACUGGGCGUAAAGGGCGCGUAGGUGGCCUGAUAAGGGUGUGGUGAAAGUCCGGGGGCUCAACCCCGGAUCGGCCGUGCCGACUGUUGGGCUGGAGUACUGUAGGGGCAGGCGGAAUUCCGGGUGUAGCGGUGGAAUGCGUAGAGAUCCGAGGAAGACCGGUGGCGAAGGCG